rnacentral:lncRNA from 1 species
CGGUGGGGCACACGGCUGUCCCACAGAAGGGGCCCGGCUCUGCACGCACAGCGCACGGACCCCUAAUGCCCACCAGCCGCACCCCGGGGUGCUGCCCUUUGCACGCACAGAGCCUGCAGCACCCCGACGUGCGCGUGGCAGCGGCACCCCACGAGUACCAGCAGUACCAGCAGUACCAGCCCGCAGCCGCCACGAGCGGAACCCCCCCACGUAGCCGAGCCCCGCUCCCCACGUGCAAACGUCCCCGUGUGCCCCCGCCCCCACGCUCACGUGCACGUAGAGAGCGGCUGUCGCGGGCCCCGCCGGUUCGGGGCCGGGAUCGGAGGGCUCCGAGGCCGACCUCAGCCCCGCAGCGCAGCCCGGACCCAUCCCGCGUGGCCGCGCCGCCCCGAGCCCCGCACGGAGGCCCCGCACCGCCAUCGCGCAGCGCAGCGCAGCGCACCGCCCCCGUUCCGCCCCGGGCGCCGCGCGAGGUUCCGUUUUCCGGACACCGCCUCGUCUUACUUGAACUGAGCGCGCGGCUGCCGCGCGUUAAUGACUGCAGCCUUUAAUUAAUUACACGUUCGAAUGGCGUCUGACGCGCGGCCUGAGCGACAGCGCGACGGGAAACGGCUCUGCGCGGCCGGGAAGGUCCGGGUCGGGCGUGAGCGGAAAACCUCCGCCCGGAGGCGGUGCGGCCCCGGCCCUGGAGCAGCCCUGGAGCAGCCCCGGAGCCCCGGGAUGGGAGCGCUCCGCCCGCGGCGGGGACGGGAACUGCGUGACCUUUACGGUCCCCUCCGCCCCCGCCCCGCCCCCCCCGCUCCACGAUCCCACGACGUUCCCGAGAUCCCAGCCGAGCCCACGCUGCGCCCCACCGCCACCCCCUGCGCCCAGCGGGGCUCAGCCCGAGGGACGCGCCGGGCGGUGGGAAAGGAGAAGUGGAGAAGUGAGAAAGGUCUGCGACAAAGGGAGGGGAAAGCCGGCACCGCAGAUUCCCGUUCUCAGGCCGACGUCACCCUCUCCUCCCCGGAUCCCACAGCGGGGAGUUUCCCAGCUGGCUGCGAGGCCUAUAAGGUGGGGAUGGGCUGCAGCUGCACAGAUCACGUAUGGGCUCCGUGACCGAUGUGAUGCGGAGAGCUCUGAUGUGCAUUCAUGGUAUUGUGGUGAGUGCCUGCGGAGCGGGGCUGCGGCUGAACGCGAGCAGUGAUCCCAAAGCCAUGAGGUGGCCGUGGGAUGGGAAGGCGUUGGGGCUGCGAUAUGGGUGGGUGCUGCGCCCCGAGGCGGGCAGUGCACGGCUGGCAGCUCGUGUAUGCAGAUGGUGCGGGGCCAGGAAUAGGGCUGAUGGGGUCUGCAUCCCUCUGUGCUGACUGUAACCUCUGCUUGGGGCUUCUCUGCAGUCUGUUUACCCACACAAGGCAGGAUUGAUUUCAUCUUCAUCUCAUAGCAGCCAAGCUCAGGGAUCCCACACCCAGGAAGCACCUACGGACAACAGUCAUCUCACUGGGAGGGUCUGCUUCCAUGGGUAGAUCCCACAGUCCAGCUGGGAGAGCCAAAACUGACCUCACUGACGCUUCAUCGCUCCCCCUUUGCACCACCGCUCCUCACCCAUCAGAGGAUGAGGCUCAGCUGCUUCAGGAGGUGGAAAGAGGUUGGUGAGAGUUGGUUGCAGUGUAACCUGCAGCCCAGCUGGCAUGGGCCACUCGACGGGAGGGGAAAGGAGCUCCGCUCUGCAGCUUCUCGUCGUAGUGUUUCAUGGUUGGGAGGUACCAAACUCCCGUAAAAACGCUGUCCCAGGUUUGCUCUGCUUUACACUUCUCAUGGGACAGAAAGUUUGGUAUUUCUGUACAAUGCUUACUGUCUGUCUUAUCCAAAGCAACAAAAAUAAACACCAUUAAGUCCGUGUUGGCGAAGUUUAUUUGCGGGUCAGAAGGCCCCUUGGGAGGCCUGGGAACAGGGCUAGCAUCUCCAGCCAGCUAUGGGGAGCCACUUCCUACGGAAAGCCUUUCUGCCUAAAGCCUCUGCCCUUCACUUCAAGUUUAUCAGGUGUGCCAUUUCAGUGGGUGAUUUAUAUGCCCUAUGAAUCCCAACAGCACCCAAGCAGAGAAGGCAUUCACCAGGUGAGGCUGUUGUGACCUCAAAUAUUAGUAAAAAUAGGAAAAAUGUGUUUCCAGCAUCUGUUCAGGCCCAGAAAGUCCUCUGAAAUGGCUGUAGGCAAGUUGCUCAAAGAGAAGCAAGACUUGGCAACCUUCAUGAAGUCUCAGAGUAACAGGACAGAGUUCCAGAAGUAAGCAUCUUUUCC